AUUGAACGCUGGCGGCAUGCCUUACACAUGCAAGUCGAACGGCAGCACGGGGGCAACCCUGGUGGCGAGUGGCGAACGGGUGAGUAAUGCAUCGGAACGUGCCCAGUAGUGGGGGAUAGCCCGGCGAAAGCCGGAUUAAUACCGCAUACGACCUACGGGUGAAAGCGGGGGAUCGCAAGACCUCGCGCUAUCGGAGCGGCCGAUAUCAGAUUAGGUAGUUGGUGGGGUAAAGGCCUACCAAGCCUGCGAUCUGUAGCUGGUCUGAGAGGACGACCAGCCACACUGGGACUGAGACACGGCCCAGACUCCUACGGGUGGCAG
rnacentral:rRNA from 1 species